rnacentral:rRNA from 1 species
CGCGAAAAACCUUACCUACUCUUGACAUCCACGGAAUUCGGCAGAGAUGCCUUAGUGCCUUCGGGAACCGUGAGACAGGUGCUGCAUGGCUGUCGUCAGCUCGUGUUGUGAAAUGUUGGGUUAAGUCCCGCAACGAGCGCAACCCUUAUCCUUUGUUGCCAGCGAGUCAUGUCGGGAACUCAAAGGAGACUGCCGGUGAUAAACCGGAAGAAGGUGGGGAUGACGUCAAGUCAUCAUGGCCCUUACGAGUAGGGCUACACACGUGCUACAAUGGCGCAUACAAAGAGAAGCGACCUCGCGAGAGCAAGCGGACCUCACAAAGUGCGUCGUAGUCCGGAUCGGAGUCUGCAACUCGACUCCGUGAAGUCGGAAUCGCUAGUAAUCGUGGAUCAGAAUGCCACGGUGAAUACGUUCCCGGGCCUUGUACACACCGCCCGUCUACCAUGGGAGUGGGUUGCAAAGAAUAGGUAGCUUUUCCUUC